UAACUGAACCUUAACAGGAUAUCUAACACUUGUAACUGUUUUCAUUCAAAACCAACCUUUGUUAAAUCAAUAGUCCAUUGAAAAGUCAAUUCAUCUGUGAUAAUUAACAUAAAAUAACUUCUCAUAGCACAACAAUCCUUAGAUAACUAGUUAGCACAUUGCAACUAGUAAUAAAUUCAUCCAUACUAAUGAUAAUAAUUUCAAAUUGUGGUUCAUAUCUGCAGCUUAAAGACACCAGCUAGAACUAACUAUUCCAACUAUGAAAAUCCAAUAUAACCAUUUGAACUAACUCAUGUUGAAUUCCAUUUCACACUAACAUAAUUUCAACAUCUUCUAACUAACAGAACUAACAUCUCAAUCCAACCUAAUAUAAUAUUCAAUAAUAUAAUAACUAACUCCAUCCAAUUUUUCAACUGACUGAAUUAACUACGUUAACUGUUUGUUAACUUUGUCAAAUCCAUAACUGAAUCUAACUGACGUAACAGUCCUCCCAAUCAACUAACUUCACUUCAAUCUAAACCAACUAACUUCACUUCAAUCUAAACCAACUAACUUUAACAUAGCCUUAACAAAUUGUUAACUCUAUUAAUCCUUUUAACUAACCUACAACCAGUUACUCAAUUCAUGUCUAUAAGUAAUCAUCAUCCCAAUCAUUGAAGAGGACCCAAUCAUUGACACACGAAUCAGAUAAGUUCUCAAAACUCUCUUUCACUCUCCCUCAAUUGUCUCUCAAUCUCUGAAAUUUUCCCUUUCACUUUCACCCUCACCUAAAGCUCGAUAGAACAACCAUUAAAGCUUCACCUUGAAGCUUCAAACGUGCGUGAGCUAAGCCUCUCAAUCUCUCUGCUCUAUCACAUUUUCUCUCAUGGAAGCAAAUCUCAGCAAUCUCACGCAUCAUAAACGUAGCAACCACAUAAGGAUUAGAAGAAGAUUCUAUUAAGGAGCUCAGAGUCAUAAUUCUUACCUUAUUUUGAAGCGCCUCUAGAUUUCUUAUCAUCCUCAUCUUCAAAUUUCUCAAUCUUGACCGGAGCAAUUCACCACUCUGAAGUUGGUGCACCUCUUUCAAACUCACUUGCUUUAUCAUAUUUCUUGUUACCAGAUGAUAGAAUUGAUGUAGAGGAACGUUAGCCCCAAGUUCUAAGGUUGAAACCAAUUGUAAUUCAUGUUUAAUUGGGGACCUGGAAUUUAGGGUUCAUAUGAGUUGAUUCUCUGAUUGGAAGUGUUAAGAAGGAAUUAAUAGAGGUUAACGUGAGAACGAAAGAAAGGGAACAAGGAUGAUUCCAUUGAUGCGAGGUUGAGGUCUAUUGAUAUGAGUUGAUUCUCUGAUUGGAAGUGUUAAGAAGGAAUUAAUAGAGGUUAACGUGAGAACGAAAGAAAGGGAACAAGGAUGAUUCCAUUGAUGCGAGGUUGAGGUCUAUUGAAGCUCAGCCGCCACUGGAGGCGAUUUCCAAUGCGGUGGAGGGAAGACUGAAAAUCAUUUUUUAGUUGGAAUAAGGGGAUGUGGAAGUGAG
rnacentral:lncRNA from 1 species